rnacentral:tRNA from 1 species
ACCUGGCUGGCUCGGUGGGUGGAGCAUACGACUCUUGAUCCUGGGGUUGUGAGUUUGAGCCCCAUGUUGGGUA